GCUUGGACCUGCAGCAGUGUUUCAAGUCUCUGCCCUUUCUUGUAGGUAAGUGCUAUUGUGGUUUAGUGUGGUUGUUUUAGCAUACAUUAGGCAGUGUAGGACCUGCCAGAUAUGGGGUACAUUGGCGUUGUUGGCAGGCUUAUGCAAUGUAUGAUCAUAUAAUGUGACUAAAUCCCCAUACUUUUCAUAUAUAGUGCUUAGUUAUGUCUCCUCUUGUUUUGCCUUGUAUUUCUUGUCUUAUUUUAUUUUGUCUUGUAAUCCCAGUCCAUGUACAGUCCUGUCCAGUCAUGCCUAUGUUAUGUUCUUGUUUUCCUCAUGUCUUGUGUACAUGUUCAGGAUUCUGCUUUCUGUCCUGUUCUGGGUUCUCCUAGUUUUGUCUUGUUUUCAUGCAUGGUGCCUAUCUCUAGUCUUGCCCUGUUCUCCUAGUUUUGUCUUGUUUUCAUGUAUGGUGCCUAUCUCUAGUCUUGCCCUGUUCUCCUAGUUUUGUCUUGUUUUCAUGUAUGGUGCCUAUCUCUAGUCUUGCCCUGUUCUCCUAGUUUUGUCUUGUUUUCAUGUAUGGUGCCUAUCUCUAGUCUUGCCUUGCUUCAGUACUGGAUACAUCCCUGCUGCAGAGCCUCCCUAUUCAACUCCUGGGAGGUCUGCUUAAUUCCAAACUCCUAGUUCCUGGGAUCCGCAUAAGCUGAAUCAGGGUUCUGGUAUGUGGCUGCACAAAUGCUGGUGCUCAACACCAGGGGGCGUGCGGUUAGCCUGCACCAGACCCUGCUAAUCCACCUCCACACUGUGACUCCUACUCUGAACAUCAGGCAUUCUGGGUCCCAGGCACCGGACCACCACCCUGACACUACCCUCAUCUAAUGAAGGUUGAAUCCAGGUUUAAUCCCAUCAAUAGGUAUUAAAUUACUAUUCUAAAUUUAAAAGAUAAAACAAAACACAAAUACUGUUCUCGAUAUAUCCUGAUCUCUGGCAAUUUUCAGGAAUGGAAUCCAGAAAAAUUGAUAAAACAAAAGCAAAUAGCCCUACAUGUUUCGACUAUUACGCACGG